GUGACUGAUCGCGCUACCAUGCAGUCGGAGGUAGCACAGAGGAGCUUGCUCCUCGGGUGACGAGUGGCGGACGGGUGAGUAAUGUCUGGGGAUCUGCCCGAUAGAGGGGGAUAACCACUGGAAACGGUGGCUAAUACCGCAUAAUGUCGCAAGACCAAAGAGGGGGACCUUCGGGCCUCUCACUAUCGGAUGAACCCAGAUGGGAUUAGCUAGUAGGCGGGGUAACGGCCCACCUAGGCGACGAUCCCUAGCUGGUCUGAGAGGAUGACCAGCCACACUGGAACUGAGACACGGUCCAGACUCCUACGGGAGGCAGCAGUGGGGAAUAUUGCACAGUGGGCGCAAGCCUGAUGCACCCAUGCCGCGUGUAUGAAGAAGGCCUUCGGGUUGUAAAGUACUUUCAGCGGGGAGGAAGGCAGUGAGGUUAAUAACCUUACUGAUUGACGUUACCCGCAAAAGAAGCACCGGCUAACUCCGUGCCAGCAGCCGCGGUAAUACGGAGGGUGCAAGCGUUAAUCGGAAUUACUGGGCGUAAAGCGCACGCAGGCGGUCUGUUAAGUCAGAUGUGAAAUCCCCGGGCUUAACCUGGGAACUGCAUUUGAAACUGGCAGGCUUGAGUCUCGUAGAGGGGGGUAGAAUUCCGUGUGUAGCGGUGAAAUGCGUAGAGAUCUGGAAGAAUACCGGUGGCGAACGGGCCCCCUGGACGAACACUGACGCUCAUGUGCGAAAGCGUGGGAGCAAACGAGAUUAUAUACCCUGGUAGUCCACGCCAUACACGAUGUCCACUUGGAUGUUGUUCCCUUGAAGAGUGUCUUCCAGAGCUAACGCGUUAAGUCCACCGCCUGGAGAGUACCGCCGCAGGUUAAAACUCAAAUGAAUUGACGGGGGCCCGCACAAGCGGUGGAGCAUG
rnacentral:rRNA from 1 species